GAAUGACAAGGAAUUUUUCCAUAUCAGGGGAUCACGUCCUAUAGUCCAUGCAUUGACUAGGACUUGCGAAUUCUUGGGAAUAGUGUAGCCACAGAGUUGAACUUCUUCUUGUACUUGGCGAGGUAUUAAGAAAGGAGCCGGUGGGUGUAAUCCUCCGGUCUCUUUCACAAUACAUUGCAAAUAAGGCAACCUAGAUAUGUCCUCUUCUUUUACAAUCUUUCCCUUCCCGACCACUUCGUUCAGCUCAGCUUUCGCCUUGACUAAUAUUGUAUCUGGAUUUUUUAAUAUCUCGGCCAUCGACCAUUCCACUGUACCUGAAGUUGUAUAUGUUCCUGCAGCAAACAAGUCCUGGCAGUGUGUAUCAAGUAUUAAUGAUUCUGGACUUAUGAUAAUCUUAGUAUCAUAAUCGUCAAGAAAGCAGUGCAGGCGUGUGCAGCCUUUGCUAAUAGCAAAGCAAAGAGAGAACAGUCCAAAUUAGAUCUAAAAUCGGACUAUAACAAAUAGUCUGAAAUAGUAAUUUUAUUUUCUAUAGAUCUAAUAGGAUCGAAAUUCUAUAAUUGACUGAUCGGACCGAAAUUAUUUUAAAAAUGUAAAUAAAACUAAAAUUUAUGAUUUAUUAAAAAAAUUAAUAGUAAUUAAUGACCACACCACUUCGCCAAAAUAGGUAUACUAAAUUUACAAAUAAGAUAUUACAAUUAUAAUUUAUAAUAUGUAUAUAUAUAUAUAUAUAUAUAUAUAUAUAUAUAUAUAUAUAAAAUAGUAAUUAAUAUUAUAUUGUUUGGAUUAUUCGGUUCGGACCGAAAUAUUUUUUUAGAAAUCUACCCGAACGAAAUUUAUUUGAAUUAUUUAAUUAGAAUUUAGACAGAAUUUUCAAAAAAUUAGGACCAAAUCGAAUUCACACAGUUCCGUUUUGUUCUACCCUGCUGAAGAGUUGUGUUUGGACACCUUUCUUUCUUUCUUUCUUUUUUCUUUGACGAACAAUAGGAUUUUAUUGAACAUAAAACAUAAGAACACAGUCGGGACAAAUCCCCAAACUGACAAUUACAACUUGAUUGUGAAACAAAAAUCGAGCUAAACAAAUAGCCGCAAACAAAAAUCGAGCUAAACAAAUAGUCGUUUUGUUUUCAGAUUGCUUAACAGAUAGAAUAUAAAUAUUCUUGAUAAUAAAAAUGAUUACAAAAGUUUCUCGAGCAAUCCAGUCGACACCAACAUCACUGAAAAUAGUAGAAUCACAAUUGACCUGCGCACUUAAAAAACCGGUGAUAGACCAGUGUUCGUAUCCAUCAGUUACACCAACUGAGGUUGGGGGUACAAAUGCCCCAUAUAUUGAACAAUCUUUUGUUGUGCGAAGUGAGCUCUCGCGAUAAGUACCACAAUUCCAGAUUUGAAGCGGGUUGCUCAGAUUUCCCGAUACACCGUAGAAAUCAUUCUUAAAGCAACAUGACAACGAAUCAAAAACGCAACAAGACAUACACCCAAAAAUUGGGGACAAUCAACAACCCAAAAAGAUGGGUACGGUAACAAGAUCACACCGAAAGGGAUUUAGAUCUCGAUUAUAUUGAAAACUAUUAGAAUAUAAAUUAAAGAUUUAGAAAUGGAGGAAACGGGAUGAGAGGAAAACUAUUAGAAUAUAGAUUAAAGAUUUAGAAAUGGAGGAAACGGGAUGAGAGGAUGGAUGGGAUGGAUGUGGAUUUGAUGGAAGAAGGGGCGGUGAAGGAUGGAGGAUAGUUAUGAACGGCGGCCGACUCUCAUUAUCUAAUAUCCUAAAAUUAAUUAGGCAGAACUAGAGUUGGUACAGCACGAAGCGGAUGAAGCUUUGCUACAGUGAUCCCGAACUUAUCCUCCAUGUCCAAUUCCUUUGGUGCAAUCCCACCUUCAAGUUUCCAGUCAAAACAAUUUAUGAGGGAGCCCAACAACACUGGCACCAUCCUCACGGCCAAUGGCAAUCCUGGACAUUUCCUUCGACCUGCACCAAAUGGAAUUAGCUCGUAAUGAUGGCCAUUCACAUCAACUUCAGAGUUCAGGAACCUCUCUGGUUGGAAUGACAAGGGAUUUUUCCAUAUCAGGGGAUCACGUCCUAUAGUCCAUGCAUUGACUAGGACUUGCGAAUUCUUGGGAAUAAUGUAGCCACAGAGGUGAACUUCUUCUUGUACUUGGCGAGGUAUUAAGAAAGGAGCCGGUGGAUGUAAUCUUGCAGUCUCUUUCACAAUACAUUGCAAAUAAGGCAACCUAGAUAUGUCCUCUUCUUUUACAAUCUUUCCCUUCCCGACCACUUCGUUCAGCUCAGCUUUCGCCUUCAGUAAUAUUGCAUCUGGAUUUUUUAAUAUCUCAGCCAUGGCCCAUUCGACUGUACCUGAAGUUGUAUCUGUUCCUGCAGCAAACAAGUCCUGCCAGUGUAUAUCAAGUAUUAAUGAUUCUGGACUUAUGAUAAUUUUAGUAUCUUAGGUAAUAACCUAACAAACCUUAGUUGAGGCAUGUCUGAGCAUUUGAAUAUCAGUAAUUAAUCGUACCCAAAAGACAGAAGAACAAUAUAUGAAACUUACCACAAACAGGUGUUGGAUUUGAGUUUUGUCGAUCUCAUUUGUUUGUAAUAUUGUUAACAGUUCAUCAAGAAUAUCUGUUGUACUAUUCUCACUGGAAUUUUCCGAUCUCUUCAACUCCAAGCGCUCAAUUAUCAAACCAUCAAACAACUCGAGUAGCUUCUCACAAGAACCAGUAAAUCGCCGCUUUAUACCCUGCGGAUCAAUCCACUUAAGAAUUGGAAAGUAAUCUACCAAAUUAGGCUUACCCCCCUCAACCAUCAAGUUCCACACCAACUCCCUGAAGUUUUUACCCUCCCCUGAAUUCUGAUACAAAUCUAUCAUAUCCUUUGAAAAUAUGGUGUUGGACAAAAGAUUCAGCAAAGUUAGAAAUACAGCACGACCAAUAUCUACGGCCUCACCACUCUGGCUACACUCCUUACAGUACCCAAUAAGCUCAUGCACCUUCCUACUUCGUAUAUGCUUACUUGCAUCGAGCUUGUUAGCUGUCAGUAUAGAUGAGCUCAUAAUUUUUCUUAAACUUCUCCACUGACUACCAACAGACAAGAACGUUACUGAGUAUUUAUCAUGGUCGCAACCGCGUAGAGCAUCCGGAACAGGACGAUUAGAGAAGGCCAAAUCUUGCUUUUGGAGGACUUCUUGAGCUGCACUUGAUGAAGAAAUGACUAUGGUGGUUACACGGCCUAAAUUGAGACGCAUGAUGGGACCGUAAACUUGAGCAAGGGCGUUUAAGGACUUAUGAGGGAGCUUGCCUAGUUUGUGUACAUUUCCAAUGAUGGGCAAGGGAUAGGGUCCUGGUGGAAGUUUUUGAGGAGCUUUGCUUAUUCUUCUCCCAAAGAAACGUAGAGUAAAGAGUAGCAGUAUGCAGAUGAAUAAACUGAUUAAUAUUGUAUCCAUGAAUCCUGGUAAAAUUGUGUGCCAGAAGUGAAAAUGCAUAUCAAUAUUGGAGACCGAAGGUUGAUAUAUCAUGCUGAUGACUGCCAAAUUGUUUAUCUUGUUAAAAUGUCUGGUGCAUAACACUUUAGCCAUUACAUUUACACCGACGGAAAUUUGACGUCUAAAUAUAAUUAUCUUUUAAAAAAAUUAUAUAAAAAUAAUUAAAAUCCAUUUUUUCCAGGUCAAGUAUAAUACGUUUUUAAUCAUGAAAUAUGUAUCUAAAAGUCGAAUAUUUGAAUAGGAAAGAGUAUUCUUAAAAUUUCGUGGUUGCAAAUUAUAUAUUAAAUAAAUGAUGAAUAAGAUUGCAAAUGUUUACGAUGCAAAUAUGAAAAUAAAUUAUUUCUUAAAAUAAAUGAUUAGAAUAAUAAGAAUGAACAACAAGUAACUUUAGCCAUGCAAUUGCUAUCCAAAAAAAAAACAAACUACAUCCACACAAUCAAAAUGAUUUGUCAAGAUCGUUGGAUGAUGACAUUUGAAAGAUGAAAAAUAUUAAAUACUUUGUUGAGACAAAUUAUUUCUGUAUAUUAUGUAUUAGAGCAGCGAUGUAGUCGACGUACAUACAUAAAAGAAUCUUUGUCCUAGGCUCUCAGUUUAUUAUCAGAGUUACUCUUACAAUUUAUUUAUCUUUUUCUGGUUCACAAAGUAAAGGACCACAUGCCUUUAUCUAAAAUGUCAAUAAUUAACCAGCUUCUACAACUAGAGUUGGUACAGCACGAAGCGGAUGAAGCUUUGCUAGAGUGAUUCCAAACUUCUCCUCCAUGUCCACUUCCUCUUCUGCAAUCCCACCUUCGAGUUCCCAGUCGAAACAAUUUAUGAGGGAGCCCAAUAUCACUGGCACCAUCCUCAUGGCCAAUGGCAAUCCCGGACAUUUCCUUCGACCUGCACCAAAUGGAAUUAGCUCGUAAUUAUGGCCAUUCACGUCAACUUCCGAGUUCAGGAACCUCUCUGGUUGGAAUGACAAGGAAUUUUUCCAUAUCAGGGGAUCACGUCCGAUACUCCAUGUAUUGAUUAGGACUUGUGAAUUUUUUGGAACAGGGUGUUUGAAAAUGGAGUUUUAAGCUCAUAAUUUUAUUAUGUUCUUGUUGUUAAUUCAAUAUUCUAAUGAUUGGAAGUUGUUUCUAGAUAUCGGAACUUAAACUUUCAUGUAUGGGUUUAAAAAUUUUCUUAAUGAAAUCCAUAAGAGAAAUGAAGUUGAAGUUAGUAGCUUGAAAGAGCUUGUUUUUGAGAAUGUUGUUUGUCCCACAUUGAAAGAAAUAAAGGGGGUGUUGGCUUUAUAUAGUAUAACACACAUGGGUAGUGCAUAACUACUAAGGUGUGUUAUGGUGCGUGGUGUUCUCACGAGCCCACGCGCGCGCCGCCGCCGCCGCCCCACCACGGGUCGGGUCGGGUCGGGGCGAUUUGGGCGAAUGUCUCGGCGUCUCGCGUACGCGAGGCGACCUGGGCGGGGAAUUUUAUUUCGUAUCGAUUUAAUAUAAUAUUUUAAUUAGAAUUUAUUUAUCAUUUGGGCUGGGUUGUGUCUGUUGGGCUCAAUUGGACUGGGUCGGAUUGCAUAAUUGGGCUAAGUCAGAUACAAUGAACCUGGACUUGUAACUGAUGAUAUAUAUUCAGAAAUUAAAGUAUAUAUAUAUAAAACGGAUGGUUUAAUGUGUGGAUUAAUAUAUAUCAGCUGUUACAUUAUAAUAAAUCAGCUGUUACGAUUUAUUUUAAAUGUGCAGUUUAAAUUCAUAUAUUAAAUUUGGGGUGGUCAGUUACACUUAGCCUCUAGUAUAAAUAGAGGACUAAGCUGCUGAGUUUCAUACACCACACCCUACAUUCUCUUCUCUUCUUCCUCUCUGCUCUCUCUCCCAAACACAAGUCAGUCAGUAGUUGGUUUUCCGGCGAGUGAGGAGCUAGUCGUGGUUGAGCUUCGAAGGUGCUGUAAUUCAAAGCUCUGAGCUGUUUUAUCCUGGAGGAGGUGUUGCAAGCAUCCCCAGUGCAGCAGGUGGGGGCAAUAAUCUCUUCAAGAGCAGUCAGGUCUUCGUAUAAGGCCUGACGACUCAGCUGUUCUUGUGAUUUUCUUGUUGUACAUGUUCUUGCCUCAAGCUAUGGCUACUGGUACAACUUCUUUCCUUCCUCUAGUCUUACAGUCACUGACAUGCAUGUAUUUUACCUUCACGUUUUGUUUCAACUUGCUUGGCUUUGGCUUGUUUAAUAUGAUAUAUAACUGCCUCUAUGUUGCUAUAAUAAUCAGUAUAUCCAACACAGGGUAGCCGCAGAGUUGAACUUCUUCUUGUACUUGGCGAGGUAUUAAGAAAGGAGCCGGUGGGUGUAAUCUUCCGGUCUCUUUCACAAUACAUUGCAAAUAAGGCAACCUAGAUCUUCCAUAUUUAGUAUAAACAAACCAUCAAAUUAUAAUGAUGAUCAAAAAUUAUAUUAUCACCACAAAUAUAGGAGCCUGUCAAGAUAUAUUUACUAUAUAUAUAUAUAUUUCACAACUCAUAUCAUAAAUAUAUAUAGGGUUGUGUAAUCAGAUAAUGUAAAUUAAAGAAAUAUAUUCUAAUAAAAAAUAUGUUUAUUCUUUUUUAUCUUCUCGACACUAUUAGCAUAAUUAACUUAAAAUAUCCAACAAUAUAUAUUACGAGGCUCUUAGCCUUUUAUUGGAGUUCGACAAUGUAAAGGAGCAGAUGACUUUAUCUAAUAUCCUAAAAUUAAUUAGGCAGAACUAGAGUUGGUACAGCACGAAGCGGAUGAAGCUUUGCUACAGUGAUCCCGAACUUAUCCUCCAUGUCCAAUUCCUUUGGUGCAAUCCCACCUUCAAGUUUCCAGUCAAAACAAUUUAUGAGGGAGCCCAACAACACUGGCACCAUCCUCACGGCCAAUGGCAAUCCCGGACAUUUCCUUCGACCUGCACCAAAUGGAAUUAGCUCGUAAUUAUGGCCAUUGACAUCAACCUCAGAGUUCAGGAACCUCUCUGGUUGGAAUGACAAGGGAUUUUUCCAUAUCAGGGGAUCACGUCCUAUAGUCCAUGCAUUGACUAGGACUUGCGAAUUCUUGGGAAUAGUGUAGCCACAGAGUGGAACUUCUUCUUGUACUUGGCGAGGUAUUAAGAAAGGAGCCGGUGGGUGUAAUCUUCCGGUCUCUUUCACAAUACACUGCAAAUAAGGCAACCUAGAUAUGUCC
rnacentral:lncRNA from 1 species